rnacentral:rRNA from 1 species
UGGGGAAUUUUGCACAAUGGGGGAAACCCUGAUGCAGCGACGCCGCGUGAUUUAGUAGGCCUUCGGGUUGUAAUAAUCUUUUUUUUGGGACGAAAAUGACAGUAUCAUAAGAAUAAGGUCCGGUUAAAUACGUGCUAGCAGCCGCGGUAAUACGUAUGGACCGAGCGUUGUCCGGAAUCAUUGGGCGUAAAGGGUACGUAGGCGGCCAAGUAAGUUAGAAGUGAAAUAAUAUAGCGUAACUAUAUAAAGCUUUUAAAACUGGUAGGCUUGGGCGAUGGGAGGAAAGGUGGAAUUCCUAGUGUAGCGGUGAAAUGCGCAGAUGUUAGGAAGAAUACCAGUGGCGAAGGCGACUUUCUGGUCAUCAUCUGACGCUGAGGUACGAAAGCGUGGGUAGCAAACAGG